UACAUAUCCAUUGAUUCUCGUUUUUAAUUUAUUUUUCCAAAUAUCAAUAUAGAAAGAAAUUAUUCCCAAGGGAAUAUUAUCUCGAAAUAAUUUCUUAAGGACAACUCGAUUGUUUAUAUAUAAAUAUAUAAACGAACAUCGAGAAAAAUUCAGUUCUAACGUGUGGCGAUCUAUUUAUAGUUUCAUCAAAUUAUCGAUAAAUUUAAGAUCAUGCGAGACGUACUACAGUACUACGUAGUACUGUGAAACAAAUACGUAUUUGCUUAAUUCAUUUAAAACAAUAGAAAUGUUUUUUUUCGAUUGUUAAUCUUUCGAUGGAUCAAAAGAUCAACGACCGACAAAUGAAAUCUUUAAACUCGAGUAUUUCGUUAGAGGUAUAAAACGAGAAUGAGAGAGAAAGAGAGAGGAGGGUGGAGAGAAGAGGAAACAAAAGAUAUUCUUUAAGGACGAGUAAGAAUAUUUUAACUUUGACUAAUCUCGUUGUAUAAAAAACGAUUAAAAUUGGUACCCACGAUCAAAUGAUUAUUUUUAUUUUACACGUUAGAUUGCAUUCAAAAAUAAUGUUAUCUUUUUUAUUUAUUUAUUUUUUAUUUUUAAUUUUUUAUUUCUAUAAAAAUAACAUUAUAGAAUUAAAUCUCGUUGUUGAAUAAGUUUUAAUACUAUAAAAAAAAAAAAAAAAAAAAAAUGGUCGGAUCUGUGACACAAAAUGGCAUUUGUGUGACACGAAUGUCUAUUGUAUUCAUUGUUUAUACAUUUUUGUUCUCUUUUCGUUGCAUAAUCAUAAAAAAAUGAACAAAAAUAUAAAAAGAAAAGGAAAAAAUAACAAAAAAAGA